CAGGACCACUCCACGUUUCACCAUCCGAAUUUCCAGCCAAUAUAUCCUGACAGUCAAAACUUGGACUUUACCGAUAAGGUGCUGGAGAAGGAGGCCCAGAAUGUCUGUGGAGAUAGCUCCGAGUGUUUGUUCGAUAUUUUCACAACUGGCAAAGUGCGAAUCGGACGAGCAACAAAAGAGAUUGUGACUCAGUUUGUUGCUGUUGUAAACGACACUGUGAAGCCAGCUUGCGUACCACUGGACUCGCAGCUGACUAAUGGGUUUGUUCACAGAAAUGACACCGAUGGCGGGAUUGAUUACAAGUUUGCAUGCAAUGAAGGUUUCGUUCUGAACGGUUCUAGUCACGUAACGUGUAAAGAUGGACUGUACAAUGGUUCAGCUCCAAACUGCUUGCCGAAAGAAUGCCCAGUUCGUCUUUGGCAUCUUAAGAAUGGUCGCUUUCACGGGAACGGCAGUGUUUAUCUCUCAACGUAUCAUUUCCUGUGCAACGGUGGAUAUGUCUUGGUUGGUGACAAUACCGUGACAUGCAAGGCGAAUGGCUCAUGGAAUGGUACAAAACCCGUCUGUU